GCAAGAUCUCCCAAGGUCAUUCCGGGGAAGCCCCUAGAUACUCCACAGCCGCUUCUGCCUAUCAUGCCUUCCCAACUUCCCUGCAGAAGCCUUGGAGGCACUGAGCAAGCUCUCUACCACCCCACCUUUACAUUUGGGGGAGGAGUUAGACAAACAAGAGAUCUGAAUAUAAUCUCACAAGGAGUAAAUAAAAUGAAAAGGGAGAACUUUUGAAGUUAGUUGUCCCUGCCUCCUGCGCUCCUAACAUCUCCAGGUAACUCCCAUGGAGCGCACACACAAAGCUACCUUGUCACGAGGCACCGGGGAUUGCUCUCCCUUUAGACACCCCAGCCCUUUUCCUGGAAGGUGACUUUAUUCCACAGCACGGGGCUGUUAUUUUUUCCUUAGGCCAGGGUUGGGAGUUUACACCCCACGUCUCUGGGAACACUGGUGCAUCUGUGAGCAAAGUUGGCUCUGGCGUCCUGAAGGAGGCGUGCUCGGGGCGGAGGGGCAAAAGAACGUCACAGUGGGGCGGAGUGGGGACACUGGCCGGGAGACCCGGAGGAAGGACACCCGCGCUGCGUGUGCUGUGGCGUGUGCGUCCUAGUUUAAGGUAGGAGUUGGGCUGAGGAGAGACAGAGCCAGCCAGUCAGAUUCAGGAAGUCGCGUUCCUGACCUCAGUAGCAGAGCUGGGUGCGGUGAAACCUCAGCCAGGGACGCAGGGGGCGCUUUCACACUGGUGGCACCCACUGACCGGCAGCGCCGCCUCUCUCCCGGGACCUGGCAGUGGGAGGGAGAGGCAGGAGCAGGGAUCCAGACCUCACCCUUGUGCCCAAGUCACUUCAGACAGCACCGAACAGAGCCAGCGGUCCCGCCGGCGGGAAGCCUUCCAGCGGACCCAAAGAGGUCUCUCACCUUCUCUCCGCUCCUGGCCUGACACAUGGACUCCUCUGGAGUUUGGGGUGGAGUUCUCAGCUCCAGUUGACACCAGCUGCAGGAAAGAGGCCCAUUACAAAACAACAUUUCGGGCACUGUCAACAUUUUGCCUACAGAAUCAAAAGAGGUAAAAGCCACAGGAUCAAACCCAAGAAGAUAAUAAACAGUCAGCAGGCUUCUGCA
rnacentral:lncRNA from 1 species